rnacentral:rRNA from 1 species
GCGAAUGCUGACAUAAGUAACGAUAAAGCGGGUGAAAAGCCCGCUCGCCGGAAGACCAAGGGUUCCUGUCCAACGUUAAUCGGGGCAGGGUGAGUCGACCCCUAAGGCGAGGCCGAAAGGCGUAGUCGAUGGGAAACAGGUUAAUAUUCCUGUACUUGGUGUUACUGCGAAGGGGGGACGGAGAAGGCUAUGUUGGCCGGGCGACGGUUGUCCCGGUUUAAGCGUGUAGGCUGGUUUUCCAGGCAAAUCCGGAAAAUCAAGGCUGAGGCGUGAUGACGAGGCACUACGGUGCUGAAGCAACAAAUGCCCUGCUUCCAGGAAAAGCCUCUAAGCAUCAGGUAACAUCAAAUCGUACCCCAAACCGACACAGGUGGUCAGGUAGAGAAUACCAAGGCGCUUGAGAGAACUCGGGUGAAGGAACUAGGCAAAAUGGUGCCGUAACUUCGGGAGAAGGCACGCUGAUAUGUAGGUGAAGUCCCUCGCGGAUGGAGCUGAAAUCAGUCGAAGAUACCAGCUGGCUGCAACUGUUUAUUAAAAACACAGCACUGUGCAAACACGAAAGUGGACGUAUACGGUGUGACGCCUGCCCGGUGCCGGAAGGUUAAUUGAUGGGGUCAGCGCAAGCGAAGCUCUUGAUCGAAGCCCCGGUAAACGGCGGCCGUAACUAUAACGGUCCUAAGGUAGCGAAAUUCCUUGUCGGGUAAGUUCCGACCUGCACGAAUGGCGUAAUGAUGGCCAGGCUGUCUCCACCCGAGACUCAGUGAAAUUGAACUCGCUGUGAAGAUGCAGUGUACCCGCGGCAAGACGGAAAGACCCCGUGAACCUUUACUAUAGCUUGACACUGAACAUUGAGCCUUGAUGUGUAGGAUAGGUGGGAGGCUUUGAAGUGUGGACGCCAGUCUGCAUGGAGCCGACCUUGAAAUACCACCCUUUAAUGUUUGAUGUUCUAACGUUGACCCGUAAUCCGGGUUGCGGACAGUGUCUGGUGGGUAGUUUGACUGGGGCGGUCUCCUCCUAAAGAGUAACGGAGGAGCACGAAGGUUGGCUAAUCCUGGUCGGACAUCAGGAGGUUAGUGCAAUGGCAUAAGCCAGCUUGACUGCGAGCGUGACGGCGCGAGCAGGUGCGAAAGCAGGUCAUAGUGAUCCGGUGGUUCUGAAUGGAAGGGCCAUCGCUCAACGGAUAAAAGGUACUCCGGGGAUAACAGGCUGAUACCGCCCAAGAGUUCAUAUCGACGGCGGUGUUUGGCACCUCGAUGUCGGCUCAUCACAUCCUGGGGCUGAAGUAGGUCCCAAGGGUAUGGCUGUUCGCCAUUUAAAGUGGUACGCGAGCUGGGUUUAGAACGUCGUGAGACAGUUCGGUCCCUAUCUGCCGUGGGCGCUGGAGAACUGAGGGGGGCUGCUCCUAGUACGAGAGGACCGGAGUGGACGCAUCACUGGUGUUCGGGUUGUCAUGCCAAUGGCACUGCCCGGUAGCUAAAUGCGGAAGAGAUAAGUGCUGAAAGCAUCUAAGCACGAAACUUGCCCCGAGAUGAGUUCUCCCUGACUCCUUGAGAGUCCUGAAGGAACGUUGAAGACGACGACGUUGAUAGGCCGGGUGUGUAAGCGCAGCGAUGCGUUGAGCUAACCGGUACUAAUGAACCGUGAGGCUUAACCUU